UAAGACCUUGCGCGAUUGGAGCGGCCGAUGUCGGAUUAGCUAGUUGGUGAGGUAAAGGCUCACCAAGGCGAUGAUCCGUAGCGGGUCUGAGAGGAUGAUCCGCCACACUGGGACUGAGACACGGCCCAGACACCUACGGGAGGCAGCAGUGGGAAUUUUGGACAAUGGGCGAAAGCCUGAUCCAGCCAUGCCGCGUGAGUGAAGAAGGCCUUCGGGUUGUAAAGCUCUUUCGGCCGGGAAGAAAUCGCACUCUCUAAUAUAGGGUGUGGAUGACGGUACCGGACUAAGAAGCACCGGCUAACUACGUGCCAGCAGCCGCGGUAAUACGUAGGGUGCGAGCGUUAAUCGGAAUUACUGGGCGUAAAGCGUGCGCAGGCGGUUUUGUAAGACAGAUGUGAAAUCCCCGGGCUUAACCUGGGAACU
rnacentral:rRNA from 1 species